rnacentral:antisense_RNA from 1 species
CUUGACGGAGCCCAGCCACAGGGGCCGGUCGGCGUCCCGGCCCCGGCCGUAGGCCGCCAGCAGCGCCUGCGCCUC